rnacentral:rRNA from 1 species
UACGAAGGGGGCUAGCGUUGCUCGGAAUCACUGGGCGUAAAGCGCACGUAGGCGGCUUUUUAAGUCAGGGGUGAAAUCCUGGAGCUCAACUCCAGAACUGCCUUUGAUACUGAGAGGCUUGAGUCCGGGAGAGGUGAGUGGAACUGCGAGUGUAGAGGUGAAAUUCGUAGAUAUUCGCAAGAACACCAGUGGCGAAGGCGGCUCACUGGCCCGAUACUGACGCUGAGACACGAAAGCGUGGGGAGCAAACAGG